rnacentral:rRNA from 1 species
UACGGAGGGCGCUAGCGUUGUUCGGAAUUACUGGGCGUAAAGCGCACGUAGGCGGCUUUUUAAGUCAGGGGUGAAAUCCCGGGGCUCAACCCCGGAACUGCCCUUGAAACUGGAAGGCUAGAAUCUUGGAGAGGCGAGUGGAAUUCCGAGUGUAGAGGUGAAAUUCGUAGAUAUUCGGAAGAACACCAGUGGCGAAGGCGACUCGCUGGACAAGUAUUGACGCUGAGGUGCGAAAGCGUGGGGAGCAAACAGG